rnacentral:lncRNA from 1 species
CCAUUUUCAGAAAGCAUUAAGCAUCCUGAAAUCUGUACCUUGGAGAGCUUAGCCCAAUUAGGACUAUGUUUAUAAAGCAAUUUGGGCUACACAGAGAUUGAUUUACUCAAAAAGGGAAUUCAAAAGUGCCUUGACACUUGUCUCCCGUGGAUAUGAGCAUCUGUUCUGAAGUGUAACUGUACUCUCAUAACAAUUCCAAGGGUAAUAACUGCAUUUCCUGAAUAGAGCAAAUCCAGGUCCUUCUGUGCGUCCUGUAGGAUUGUCAGCUUUCCCUAAAUACACAAUUAAUUCUGCCAGUAACAGUAGCAGACACUUAUAUGCCCACACAGGGAGUUGUGUUACAUAUGACUUGCCACUGCAUUUAUUUUUCAGUGUUUUAAAUGAGGACAGGGGGAGGUAAAGCAGCUCACUGGACUGAAUGACCCGUCCUGUAUUCCAGGUGCACUUGUGAUGAUUAGUGCCAAAAAACAGGCAGCAGAAGGAGGCCCUUUUAUAGUCAGCUAAUAGAAAGUCCCUGGUCUAAGCAUGAAGAAGACAGUCUAGAUUUGAAAACAAGGAGCUGAGUUUUACUUCCUCUUUUCUUCAACUAAAAUGUGCCGUCUGAACCAAUCUACAAGCUGGGUCAGCCUUUAAGUUGAACAGGGUUUGACUGAGAGCCUGCAGUUAUGUUCAGUUUAGUGAAGAGUUGUACUGGGAGGCAUUAUGUAUUCAGGGUUCUGGUACAGGAUGACUCCACAUGGCAUUUCUGAAAUGCUGAUAGCCACAGGUAGUAGCUGCGGAACUGGUUCUUGUUCAGCACUACUGUCAGUGCUCCCAUUCUUGGAAUAGUUUGGCUGCAAGUGCCCAGAGGACUGUUCUUGUUCCACUCCUGCUUUUCUGCUUUGUAUUUUGAGCAAACGUUCUUUCUGGGUAACUGCAGGUGGGAAGGUCCCCUGAUUUUCUCCAGGAGCUGCAGGAUACUCAGGCAGAAAUGGACACAGGAAUUGCUACCAGUGAGAAAAAGCUCUGCUCAAAGGAAAAGUCCUGCUGAGAUGGUGGAUGGACUCAGCUCCUGCUCAGCUGUUGUGAGCAAUCACUCUGGCUGCAGGGGAGAAGUAAGACUCCGUAAGCACCUGCCACAAAAGAAUAGGUGUAAACUUACCACUGAACAAGACAAAACUACUGUGCUACAUGGCUUUGACUACCAUUCACACUGAGCAGAACUCUUCUAAUCUGCAAAUACUGCAAAAUAAAAAGUGCAGAAGAAACCCUUGGGUCCAGUACCAAACCCUAAUGAAGACUACCAUCAAUUCAAUAAGCUCAGUAUGACACUUUCUUAAUGACUUUAUGCCCUUCGUCAUAAUGCAGCCACAAAACGAAGUGAUAUUCUGAGUGCAGCAAGAAGAUUAAUUCCAACUCUGCGUGCUAAGAGAAAAAUCCACGGCUCUGUCAUUGUGUAAACAAAAAAUGUAAAUAAAGGAAAAAUUAAGAUGUUU